rnacentral:rRNA from 1 species
GCAGUCGAGCGAACUGAUUAGAAGCUUGCUUCUAUGACGUUAGCGGCGGACGGGUGAGUAACACGUGGGCAACCUGCCUGUAAGACUGGGAUAACUUCGGGAAACCGAAGCUAAUACCGGAUAGGAUCUUCUCCUUCAUGGGAGAUGAUUGAAAGAUGGUUUCGGCUAUCACUUACAGAUGGGCCCGCGGUGCAUUAGCUAGUUGGUGAGGUAACGGCUCACCAAGGCAACGAUGCAUAGCCGACCUGAGAGGGUGAUCGGCCACACUGGGACUGAGACACGGCCCAGACUCCUACGGGAGGCAGCAGUAGGGAAUCUUCCGCAAUGGACGAAAGUCUGACGGAGCAACGCCGCGUGAGUGAUGAAGGCUUUCGGGUCGUAAAACUCUGUUGUUAGGGAAGAACAAGUACGAGAGUAACUGCUCGUACCUUGACGGUACCUAACCAGAAAGCCACGGCUAACUACGUGCCAGCAGCCGCGGUAAUACGUAGGUGGCAAGCGUUAUCCGGAAUUAUUGGGCGUAAAGCGCGCGCAGGCGGUUUCUUAAGUCUGAUGUGAAAGCCCACGGCUCAACCGUGGAGGGUCAUUGGAAACUGGGGAACUUGAGUGCAGAAGAGAAAAGCGGAAUUCCACGUGUAGCGGUGAAAUGCGUAGAGAUGUGGAGGAACACCAGUGGCGAAAGGCGGCUUUUUGGUCUGUAACUGACGCUUAAGGCGCGAAAAGCCUGGGGGAGCAAACCGGGAUUAAGAUACCCCGGGUAGUCCCCCGCCCUUAAAACCAAUAAAUUGCUAAAUUGUUUAGAGGGUUUCCGCCCCUUU